rnacentral:rRNA from 1 species
GACGAACGCUGGCGGCGUGCUUAACACAUGCAAGUCGAACGGAAAGGCCCUGCUUUUGUGCGUUGCUCGAGUGGCGAACGGGUGAGUAACACGUGAGUAACCCGUCCUUGACUUUAGGAUAAAUUCAGGAAACUGGGGCUAAUACCGGAUAGGAGCUCCUGCCGUAUGGAGCGGGUUGGAAAGAUUCGGCGGAUGGGGAUGGACUCGCGGCUUAUCAUCUUGUUGGUGGGGGAGCGGGUCAGCAAAGUGUUGAAGGGUAGCCGGACUGAGAGGGUGACCGGGCAAAUUGGGAAUGGGGUUCGGCCCAGAAUACUACGGGAGGGAGGAGGGGGGAAAAAUGCACAAGGGGCGGAAGCCUGGUGCAGCAACGCCGGGGGCGAGAUGACAGCCUUCGGGUUGGAAACCGGUUUCGCCCGGGAAGAAGCGUGAGGGACGGUAAUGGAGAAGGAAGCACCGGCUAACUACGU